AACCUUGUUUUAUGUGUGUUUGUGUUUAAAGACACCUAUUUAAUAUAUAUUGUUGAUUGAUUAGCAUUGAAUUUGCAGCCCACAGCACUAUAACUCAUGCCCGAAUGAAGCUUGCCUAACACAUGUAUUUUCCUGAAAGAUACAUCACCACCUGCUUGCAUUUUGGAACUCUAGACAGCCCGUCAUCACUGUGCUUGCGGAUCAUUUAAAAAUUCCCAACAGGAGUUCCCGUUGUAGCUCAGCUGGUUAAGAACCUGACUAGUAUCCAUGAGGAUUCGGGUUCAAUCCCUGGCUCUCAGCGGGUGGAGGAUAUGGCUUUGCCAUGAGCUGCAGUGGAGGUUGCAGAUGCAGCUCGGAUCGGGCAUGGCUGUGGCUGUGGCAUAGGUCGGCGGCUAUAGCUCCAAUUCGGCCCCAACCUGGCAACUUCCAUGUGCUGUGAGUACAGCCCUAAAAAGCAAAAAAAAAAAAAAAAAAAAAAAUUUAAAUCCCCAACAAAAAAAAACACAUCAACAAUGAAAAAUAUGGCAUUAAAUAGACCAUGGACAGUAUCCUUGCUUAUAGUAUAAGAGCUGAAACAAGAGGGCAGAGCAUGACCUCGUUUGACCUCAACUGGGAACACAGGCAUCGGGCAUCCUGCAGCCCAGAUUUUUCUCAGCAGCAGGCACACGUCCGGGGAUGACUGUAAGAGAACCUGCUGAGGAUUGAUUUUGAGGUUACAAAUAAAUUUUAGCAAGGUGGUGAAAUUUGCAAACACGGAAUCUGCGAACAGUGCAGAUCAGCUCUCCACGGUGAACCUCUCUCUCGCUCCACUGCCAUCCCCUCGUCCACGGGUCAGCAGACUUCCUCUAAAGGGCCAGGGAGUAGAUGCUUUAGGCUUUGCAGGCCAAAUGGCUGGUGUCACAGUGGCUCAGCUCUGCUGUGGUACCAAAAGCAGCUGUAGACAAUACAUAAAUGAGGCGGCGGGGCUGUGUUCCAGUAAAGCUCUAUUUUCAAAAAACAGGCCCUGGGCUGGGUUUGGCUCUCAGGCUGUCGUUUGGACCCUGGUAACCUGGUCUAACUUACCUCUGUGUCUCACCCGCACUGCCCGCCUGAGCUGCCGCCCACAUCCAUUCUGGAGCUUCCAGCUGAUUUCCUUGUGGAUUUUAAGGGUAACUUAGGUCUAAUCAUUCUCCCACUUACGAUGUCCAGCCACUUCCCAGCACACGUGGACUAGAAUUCCACACGGCGACAGCACGGCCCCAGCUUAUUUCCGCAGUCUCACUGUGGGUCACCUUUCCCCUUUGCCCCAUCCUGGCCUCUUCCAGCGUGUGGCUGUCCCCUGCGGUUUCCUGCUUCAGCACCUUUGCACACCAUCUCCCUGCUUGGAAUGUGUGCAUGCCCUCUGCCCGGCCAGCUCCCGCUCACUCAGCAGUCACACGGAAGUGACAUUUGUCACUUCCUCCCGUGUAAAUUAGAUGGCACUCCUCUGAUCUCAGGGCACCCCAUGCUCUUCCUUCGGGACGCUUGGAGUGGUCAGGGCCCAGGUGCUCAGGUGUGUCUCUUUUCCAUCCCCACCCCCACCCCCCGCCGCCCCUGCGUCAGCUGCCGGCUCCGGGAGGAGAGGAGCCAGGGACACAGCGUCUUGUCUGCUCAUGUUGCCUUCACACACUUGGUAGACCUGGCCUAAAACUUGUGGAAUCAGUAAGUGAUUGUACACAGCAAACUUUCGUUCAUACAGAUCUUUGUAUGAAGCUACAAUACAGAAACCGGGAGAAGUCACCCUCUUAGAGCCUCUAGUCUGCCUAGUCAGUUUCAGAAUGAUGAUUAAAGAGAAGACCCAUCGUGACAACAGAGUCUCUCCCUAACGGAAGGGGCCAGCUGUCCUUAGAAGCCCUCGUCUUCUAGACCUUCCUGAGGGCGCCGUGGCGCUGGAUUCUUCAACCCCUGCAUUUCCUGUUUCUAGGGAUGGGUUCAAGUUCGUUUUGGGCUGAGGUGAUUCUGGGCACUUCUUCCACCUUCCAGGGACCCAGCAUUAACAAAGCCCGGGUUGACCCCUGGAUGAGGGUUAUGGCAGCCUUGGACCUUCUGCCAGGCAGUUUCAUUCCCCCCACUUGACACCAAAAAGUGAUCUUUGAGGUGUAACUUUGAGCGACUCACCACUUACUGAAUGCUUUUAGCACCAAAUGAUAAUUAUUGCCUGAACUUACGUGUAUUCGUUGGGUUUUAAUAAAACAGUGUUUUUCUAAAUCUUUCA